GCCCAUGUAGCCCAAUGCAGAGGCACCAAGCUCAGAACUUGGCAAGUGCAGGUGCAAGUCCUGCCAUGGGCA
rnacentral:tRNA from 1 species